GAGAGGAUAGUAAAGAUAGAAAAAGACAAAGGAACGAUUAAUGGAAUAUCUCGUUUGAAAUUACGUCGGUGUGACUGUUUGAGUUUAAGCCACUGUAAAAUCUUAAUAGAGAAAAGGAGAGAAAGAGAGAAAGAAACAAUAAAAGAGAAAAAGAGAAGAACGUUAAUCGGAUGUUUAUAACGCACUGCCGCAGCUGUCCGUAUCGUGAGGUCUCAUUUGAGACACCUGCAUGAAGCUUGCAAGCUCACCACACUUUGGACGUCUCGUGAUACUCACAUAUAUUGUGAAUAUGUGUAAGAGAGAAAGACAUGUAAUGGUCGCGCGACCAUCACACUAGACGAUUACAACACGCACAAGCGGGCACAAAGCCGAGGACGCGAGCUUUUCAUCGUCGUUCCUGCUCCGCGGAUUAUGUUAUCUCUCGAGCAUGUGAUAUAUCGUACACGGAAGCGUUCGGUGCAAACAUAAUAAACCGACAAACUGUACCGCUAUUUAUAGCGAUGAAAAGCCGUGUGCAAGUAAACGUUUGGAGAAAUCAAACUAAAAGAGAUAUAAUUCUUACAAUUGUUGUCGGAGCUAGUCGCUUGUGAAAGGGUUGAAAUUAUCUGCUGACAUGAAAAUUACCUACGCUUCAGUAGAGAUUGGCCGGACGAACUUCAGCCAUCUGCAGCUGGUAUGCAACAAUCGUGCUUACUGCGUAGAACAACGUGGAAAGGCAACGUUCGUACAAAUGUUCCGAGACUAUUCGUAUUCUCCGAAUUCACGCUCACUCUAACUUCUUCUUCUAAAACUUCUUACGCCUCUUUUCUAAAACUGCCUUGUAUUUACGUGCACAGCUUGGAUCGUCGGUGUCGUCUUUCGGAAAGAAAAAGAAUGGGAAAAAAGGAAUAAAAGAUAGAGAAAAAUAGUGGAAAAGAAGAAAGGAAA